rnacentral:rRNA from 1 species
GACGGGGGGGGCAAGUGUUCUUCGGAAUGACUGGGCGUAAAGGGCACGUAGGCGGUGAAUCGGGUUGAAAGUGAAAGUCGCCAAAAAGUGGCGGAAUGCUCUCGAAACCAAUUCACUUGAGUGAGACAGAGGAGAGUGGAAUUUCGUGUGUAGGGGUGAAAUCCGUAAAUAUACGAAGGAACGCCAAAAGCGAAGGCAGCUCUCUGGGUCCCUACCGACGCUGGGGUGCGAAAGCAUGGGGUGCGAACAGG